GACGAACGCUGGCGGCGUGCUUAACACAUGCAAGUCGAACGAUGAACCCGGAGCUUGCUCCGGCGGAUUAGUGGCGAACGGGUGAGUAACACGUGAGUAACCUGCCCUUGACUCUGGGAUAACUCCGGGAAACCGGGGCUAAUACCGGAUAUGACCUCCUUGGGCAUCCUUGGAGGUGGAAAGUUUUUCGGUGAGGGAUGGGCCCGCGGCCUAUCAGCUUGUUGGUGAGGUAGUGGCUCACCAAGGCGACGACGGGUAGCCGGCCUGAGAGGGCGACCGGCCACACUGGGACGGAGCCACGGCCCAGACUCCGACGGGAGGCAGCAGUGGGGAAUAUUGCGCAAUGGGCGAAAGCCUGACGCAGCAACGCCGCGUGCGGGAUGACGGCCUUCGGGUUGUAAACCGCUUUCAGCAGGGAAGAAGCCGCAAGGUGACGGUACCUGCAGAAGAAGCACCGGCUAACUACGUGCCAGCAGCCGCCGUAA
rnacentral:rRNA from 1 species